UACGUAGGGUGCAAGCGUUGUCCGGAAUUAUUGGGCGUAAAGAGCUCGUAGGCGGUUUGUUGCGUCGGCUGUGAAAUCCCGAGGCUCAACCUCGGGUCUGCAGUCGAUACGAGCAAACUAGAGUGUUGCAGGGGAGACUGGAAUUCCUGGUGUAGCGGUGAAAUGCGCAGAUAUCAAGAGGAACACCGGUGGCGAAGGCGGGUCUCUGGGCAACAACUGACGCUGAGGAGCGAAAGCGUGGGGAGCGAACAGG
rnacentral:rRNA from 1 species